GAUGAACGCUGGCGGCGUGCCUAAUACAUGCCAGUAGAACGCUGAAGCUUGGUGCUUGCACCGAGCGGAUGAGUUGCGAACGGGUGAGUAACGCGUAGGUAACCUGCCUGGUAGCGGGGGAUAACUAUGGGAAACGAUAGCUAAUACCGCAUAACAGUAGAUAUUGCAUGAUAUCUGCUUGAAAGGUGCAAAUGCAUCACUACCAGAUGGACCUGCGUUGUAUUAGUUAGGUGGUGAGGUAACGGCUCACCAAGGCGACGAUACAUAGCCGACCUGAGAGGGUGGUCGGCCACACUGGGACUGAGACACGGCCCAGACUCCUACGGGAGGCAGCAGUAGGGAAUCUUCGGCAAUGGGGGGAACCCUGACCGAGCAACGCCGCGUGAGUGAAGAAGAGUUUCGGAUCGUAAAGCUCGGUUGUAAGAGAAGAACGAGUGUGAGAGUGGAAAGUUCACACUGUGACGGUAUCUGACCAGAAAGGGACGGCUAACUACGUG
rnacentral:rRNA from 1 species